GACGAACGCUGGCGGCGUGCCUAAUACAUGCAAGUCGAACGCAGUGGGGACGGGUGGGUAACACGUGGGUAACCUGCCCAUCAGAGGGGAUAACGAUUGGAAACAGGCGCUAAACCGAUACUGAUGGAUGGACCCGCGGUGCAGUAGCGAGUUGGGGAGGUAACGGCUCACCAAGGCCACGAUGCAUAGCCGGCCUGAGAGGGUGAUCGGCCACACUGGGACUGAGACACGGCCCAGACUCCUACGUGAGGCAGCAGUGGGGAAUCUUCGGCAAUGGACGAAAGUCUGACCGAGCAACGCCGCGUGAGUGAAGAAGGUGUUCGGAUUGUAAAACUCUGUUGUUAGAGAAGCGGUAUCUAACCAGAAAGCAACGGCUAACUACGUGCCAGCAGCCGCGGUAAUUC
rnacentral:rRNA from 1 species